CCUCCGUGUGCGAGGCCUGAGGGAUCCGCGAGAGGAAGAAAAAGAUGAGGGACCGGAAGUCAUUCAGGAGAGGGUGGUAUUUGCCUCGAGACUCGUGAAGGAUGGGGCAUUCCGAGGGAGAAAGGGCAUGGCAAGGAGAGAGACUACUGCAGUCGGCCUUCCGCAUAUGGAUAAACAUUAGCACAUUAAAAUGUGCCAGUGGGACCACAUGUUCUCAGGAGAGUCCACGGACCUUUAAGUUUAAGCAGCAAGACUUCAGAAGCCCUAACCCAAGGAGGGCAGAGCUGGAAGAGCCGGGAAGAUGCAAGUGGAGCUGGCACAGAUGCUGGGAUGUCUACUCAGAUCUGCACGUUCUCGUUACUAUUGUUUGACUUGAAAAAUCUGGAGGACAGAUUAUGAGAAAGACAAAACAGAAUGGAAGCUACGCUGACCAAUUUUUAUAGUAAAAAAAUCUAUGCCAAAGGGUUGGUUUGAUAUUUUCUCUAUUUGGAACCAAGAAAUUAAAGAAGAAAAAAAACCACAUAAGGUAUUUUUUUCUUAACAUAUGUAUUUAUAAUA